GGGGCUGGGGGUUGGAGUGCAGGGAGGGGCUCUGAGCAAGGCCUGCCCAGAGAACAUGGAUGACGAGCUCUCGAUCCUGCUGACAGCACCCCCCAGCACAGACAAACUCCAGCACAUCUUGGAGGGUGGGAAACCGAGACACGGUUGG